UGGGGAAUUUUGCACAAUGGGGGAAACCCUGAUGCAGCGACGCCGCGUGAUUUAGAAGGCCUUCGGGUUGUAAAAAUCUUUUGUAUGGGAAGAAAAUGACAGUACCAUACGAAUAAGGACCGGCUAAUUACGUGCCAGCAGCCGCGGUAAUACGUAAGGUCCGAGCGUUGUCCGGAAUCAUUGGGCGUAAAGGGUACGUAGGCGGAUAAGCAAGUUAGAAGUGAAAUCCUAUAGCUCAACUAUAGUAAGCUUUUAAAACUGCUCAUCUUGAGGUAUGGAAGGGAAAGUGGAAUUCCUAGUGUAGCGGUGAAAUGCGCAGAUAUUAGGAGGAGUACCGGUGGCGAAGGCGACUUUCUGGCCAUAAACUGACGCUGAGGUACGAAAGCGUGGGUAGCAAACAGG
rnacentral:rRNA from 1 species